UGGCCUCCAGAACAUGGAGUCGAAGACCAUCUAUCACUGUGACUGCACCAGCCGAUUGAAAGCCUCAAGCAACCCAGCAUUCUGCCUUCUCUCAUGCUGGAUUUCGUCUCUCAGCAUUGCUUUACACUGCAAAAUGAGAAAAAAUGCCACGGCAAAAAAAGCUGUUCUAGAGGCUUCACUAAAGCCUCUGACCUACAUCAAGUGCUUAAGAAGAUAGAGGAAAAAGACUCUGCUGGGGUGCGAAUUUCAGGCAGUGACAGAAAAAGAGGGAUUCCUGUUCGCCUUUAUAAGCGAUGCCUGAGGCUAGAAAGCGGAGCUGAUAUUAUGGCACGGUUCAGAUGACUGUAGAAUAAGCUGCUAUGUGCAGUAACAAUAAAUGUUAUAAGCUUUAGAUUUCACGCAGGCUUUGCUCUUUUUCCCUGAUGGUGGAAAAUUGCAGCAUUUUAAGAAGUCAGGCCCUCGACUGGCAAAGUAUGGCCUUAUAAAUGUAAUUAUAUCCUUAUAAAUGUAAGUUAAAUGAAAACAUAAUUAAAUCAUUUUAUUGUUUCUGUUUGAUUUUGAAUUGAUUUUAAAUUCACUCUGUCGUCUGCACUGUACAUUGUAUGACUCAGUGAGGGAAAAAACUAGAAUAAUAAGUAAGAUUAAAGCUACAAACCCAGCAAAUCAUGGAAAAGCAUUGACUC
ensembl:lncRNA